AUUGAACGCUGGCGGCAGGCUUAACACAUGCAAGUCGAACGAGUGGCGGACGGGUGAGUAAUGCUUGGGAAUCUGGCUUAUGGCGGGGGAUAACGACCGGAACCUUUCGCUAAUCCCGAGUACCAUAGGAUGAGCCCAAGUGGGAUUAGGUAGUUGGUGGGGUAAUGGCCUACCUAGCCGACGAUCUCUAGCUGGUCUGAGAGGAUGACCAGCCACACCGGAACGGAGACACGGCCCGGACUCCUACGGGAGGCAGCAGUGGGGAAUAUUGCGCAAUGGGGGCAACCUGACGCAGCCAUGCCGCGUGAAUGAAGAAGGCCUUCGGGUUGUAAAGUUCUUUCGGUGACGAGGCGUUAAUCACAGAAGAAGCACCGGCUAACUCCGUGCCAGCAGCCGCGGUAAUUC
rnacentral:rRNA from 1 species